rnacentral:rRNA from 1 species
UACGGGGGGGGUAAGCGUUGUUCGGAAUUACUGGACGUAAAGGGCUCGUAGGCGGCCAACUAAGUCAGACGUGAAAUCCCUCAGCUUAACUGGGGAACUGCGUCUGAUACUGGAUGGCUUGGAUCCGGAAGAGGGAUGCGGAAUUCCAGGUGUAGCGGUGAAAUGCGUAGAUAUCUGGAGGAACACCGGUGGCGAAGGCGGCAUCCUGGGCCGGUAUUGACGCUGAGGAGCGAAAGCCAGGGGAGCAAACGGG